CUUUAAAAACAAAAGAACUAUGACUCAGUAUGAAAUUUUCUAUUAAUCUUUCCCAGGCCUGAGGAUGGAAACGUCACUGUCGAAACUUGGAACAGCACUAUUCCACCAUAUGCUGACUUCCCAGUGACAAAUUACACACUGAAGAAUUUUUUACAAUGUGCUGGACUACCUACAAACAUGUCUCAUAGCAGCCCUGAACAUAUAUGGAAUCUCAAAGGAAUUAUAGAAGCAGCUUUAGAUGUCUACUCCUUCAUGAGGUCCACCUUUAGUCAGGAGCCUAUUGUGGAAAUGCUAGGCACCCUCAUUAUGAACCCUGAUGCCUACAUUUUUCAUAAUGUUGACUUGGUCAAAAUUUGGUUCCAACUGAAGAUCAGGCCACUGCUUUCAACACUGACCCCACAGUUUUUGUCUUGUCUCAGCACCAAGAACUUCACUUGUGAGACGUAUCAGAUCGUGGUACAAGAGUUGAACUACCACUUUUCAACCAUGGACCCAGUCAGACAGAAGUGGAUCUAUUUAUCUUUUAUGUACCCCUUCCUUGCUGGAAACAAUUCAGCAGGUAUUAUUUCAUUUAUUAAAUACUUUAAUACAUUAUGUUUGCUUUAUAAUGGUGGCACUGUGGUGCAGAGGCUAACACUGGUGCCUCACAGCUGCUGGGUCAUUACUUUGGACCUCAGCUGGAAUCACACUGCCUGUGUGGAGUCUGUAUUUUCUCCUUGUGUUUGUGUCAAUUUCCUCACACAGUCCAAAAGCAAGUGAAUUAUAAGUGAAUUACAAGUGUAUUUUUUUCUUCUUUGUAUAUACAUAAAGGCUGUGUAUCCCAAGGAG
rnacentral:lncRNA from 1 species